CUCCACGCCAGGCAGCCCCAUGUGUCGAGUCCCACGUGUAAGCUUCCCUAUCUACCUACCUAGCCCUUCAGCAGGGAUCACCUCCCGUACAAGGCCAAGCAGGUUGAAAACCUACUCCCUUCCCCACAGAGGAUGCACCAUCCCUGUUUGUUUUUCUUGAAAUAGCUCUCCUUCUGCAUAAUGCUUCGCUAUCCCAUACAUCGCAGCUGAGUAGGCCAGCAUCAUCCUUGCCUUUUGCCACAGAUGUCCCUAUUUAUAGCUUUCUGCUGUUGGUAGGUCUGCAGUGCUGGGGGGAGGGGAAGAUGUUUUCCUCCCCAAUCAUUCAGCCCCCACAUUGCCCGAGGAGCUGGCAUGAAUUGCACCAUAGUGACCCUGAAAGGAGUGAUUUGGGUAUCAUUUUUUUAAAAGCAAUGGAUGCUAAGAGAUCCUUUGCAUGGCUGGGCUUUUAUUUUUAAUGUGAGAGCGGAUGGGGAAUUUCAUUUGGAACAAGACUGUCAUAGGAACUCUCCCCCUGACAUUGCUUGUAAUGCCAUGGAUGAAUGAUGUCAGCUUAAUCUAGAAGGAAGCCUAAACUGUGGGAUUUAGUGAUUUUUUUUUUUUAAAGGACAAAAAGCUGUAUUCUGGCAUCCUUCCUCAUACCCAUGUGACUGGGAUCCUGGCAACAACUAGGCUUCCAUUUCCAUGCCCCUUCUGUGGGGAAAUGAUUAUUUCAAACAAAUAAACCAGUGGACCGAGUCUGUGAGCAUUCCACGCACAUACUGAAAUGCAUCUGGCAGGCGGCUACCAGAAGGCAACAAGGUAGUGUGUGCAGGCUUCUAUGAAGACAUUCCUUCCCACAGAGGGCAGCGUUUGGAAGGACAGGUUAACAGGGGAUGUGAUUCUCUACACGCUCGCUCGGCAGUGAUUACCUGUGCAAAGUGGCUGUAAAGCGCGAUCACUGAGGAAAUGUAGAGUACAUAGUCCCAGCAUGUGCACACUAUGACGUCAUGUGGAGUACAUCCAGGUGCAUGUUACUAUCUUGGACACCUUAAAUACUAAUUAC